rnacentral:tRNA from 1 species
GGACCCAUCGGCUAAUGGACAGGCCAGACGGCUUCGGACCGUCCAAUGGGGGUUCGAUUCCCUCUGGGUCCA